CUCUCGCAUCGAUGAAGAACGCAGCGAAAUGCGAUAAGUAAUGUGAAUUGCAGAAUUCAGUGAAUCAUCGAAUCUUUGAACGCACCUUGCGCUCCUUGGUAUUCCGAGGAGCAUGCCUGUUUGAGUGUCAU
rnacentral:rRNA from 1 species